rnacentral:rRNA from 1 species
AUUGAACGCUGGCGGCAGGCUUAACACAUGCAAGUCGAGCGGGGGAAGGUAGCUUGCUACUGGACCUAGCGGCGGACGGGUGAGUAAUGCUUAGGAAUCUGCCUAUUAGUGGGGGACAACAUCUCGAAAGGGAUGCUAAUACCGCAUACGUCCUACGGGAGAAAGCAGGGGAUCUUCGGACCUUGCGCUAGUAGAUGAGCCUAAGUCGGAUUAGCUAGUUGGUGGGGUAAAGGCCUACCAAGGCGACGAUCUGUAGCGGGUCUGAGAGGAUGAUCCGCCACACUGGGACUGAGACACGGCCCAGACUCCUACGGGAGGCAGCAGUGGGGAAUAUUGGACAAUGGGGGAACCCUGAUCCAGCCAUGCCGCGUGUGUGAAGAAGGCCUUAUGGUUGUAAAGCACUUUAAGCGAGGAGGAGGCUACUCUAGUUAAUACCUAGGGAUAGUGGACGUUACUCGCAGAAUAAGCACCGGCUAACUCUGUGCCAGCCGCCGCCGUAA